rnacentral:rRNA from 1 species
GACGAACGCUGGCGACGUGCUUAACACAUGCGAGUCGAACGGAAAGGCCCUGCUUUUGUGGGGUGCUCGAGUGGCGAACGGGUGAGUAACACGUGAGUAACCUGCCCUUGACUUUGGGAUAACUUCAGGAUACUGGGGCUAAUACCGGAUAGGAGCUCCUGCUGCAUGGUGGGGGUUGGAAAGUUUCGGCGGUUGGGGAUGGACUCGCGGCUUAUCAGCUUGUUGGUGGGGUAGUGGCUUACCAAGGCUUUGACGGGUAGCCGGCCUGAGAGGGUGACCGGCCACAUUGGGACUGAGAUACGGCCCAGACUCCUACGGGAGGCAGCAGUGGGGAAUAUUGCACAAUGGGCGGAAGCCUGAUGCAGCAACGCCGCGUGCGGGAUGACGGCCUUCGGGUUGUAAACCGCUUUCGCCUGUGACGAAGCGUGAGUGACGGUAAUGGGUAAAGAAGCACCGGCUAACUACGUG